GGCCACCGCAAGUCUUUGGCUUCACAAACGGUUAUGGUUAAUCUUUCAAUCAUCGGAUUGUAACAAAGGCUCACAUUUAUUUCACCAGAUUCAGAUGGAGGCUUAUUAAAGCAAUUGAGUUAACAGAAACAGAAAUACAGGUCUCGCCAAAGAAGUGGAGGAUUAGACGAAAUGAAGUCAAGAUCUUUCAGCUUAACGAUAACGUGGCCUAUUAAAUUGUGUCUUUUUCCUCUGUCGUUGUCAAAAACUGUUAAUCGAAGUGAAUUAUCUUGAACUGAUUUAUUUGGAACCUGAAUCAAUACAGAAAAAAAUACAUCGACGGAACAAUUUAAUCAGAGAUGUCAAUCAAUUGUCCAAAUUUAUUAUGAAAAUUGGUUAAUUUCCUAAACCCUUUGUUUGUUUCAUCUAUAUAAUGUUUAGGCCUAACUCUAAUCUCUUACAAUAAUUAAGGGUUUAUUAUAGUGGUUUCUUGUUGAUUCUAUUGUCUUUUGUUAAUCUAAUGGACUUGAUGGAUUCACCAUUAUGGAUUAGUUAAUUGUUGAUAAAAAUCCAACCAAUUAACUAAACAAAAAUUAUUUUCACCAAGAUAAAUUCAACUAUCACACUUUUCCAUGGUCAGAUUAACUCUCAAAUCACAACGGAAAACAUUCAAUUUGUUGGAAUUUAUAUUUAAGGUAAAUAAGUGUUUGGUUCCGUUGAUGUUAACGUGAUUGGGAAAAAUUGGAUCAACAACAAUCAUUACAUAAUUGUGAUGAAUUUACUCAAGACUCUAUUCAGUUCAUUCAUCAAUUCAACAAAGAAUCAGAGUUAACAAUUAAAACCACUGAAGUGAAAUGGCUGGUAAACGUAAAUUGUAAUUCACCUCAACAAUUAUAUCGAGAUAAACUGUAGACAUUAUCCGCUAAUCUAAUGACCUUUAAUCUAAAGAUUUCACUUGAACGGUCUACGGAAUUGGUCCAUUAAAGAUCAAUGAUUCGAUUAAUGGGAUUAUGUGUAUCCAGUGGACAUUUUACUUACCUGGAAUACAAAAGUCUCAUCGAAUCUUGGAUUACAGGUCUUCUUUUUAACUUUAGAUUGCACAUAUCGUCUUCCAUCGGGUAGAAGAUAAAUUCUGGCAACCAUGAAAUGAGAAACAUGUCCAACCAUGAGUGUUAAUCAUCAAUAUCAUCAUCACCAAAUGGUAAAAAUGAUUAUCGUUUAUAAGGAGACAAAAAUAACAGAGAAUCCAAAUGAACAUACAAAGUAUCCAAAGUCGAGGAAUAAAGUUAUUGGCUCAGUGUAAAAGGAAUGGUAACAGAUAUCGAGUCGAAGUGAUCGAAUUAAUAUGAUAGAAAUCAGAGUGGAAAAAGUUCUAGUCUUAUUUUCAUGUUAGAACAAGAAGCAAAGAAUUUGUUCCGAGGCUUGUUCCUAAUCUGUCAUCUAAAAUGUUCCAUGAGAAGAGUUUUCAUAGAAAAUCUUUAAUUAAGAAUUAACUUAUUGCCUUUGUUUUUCUCUCCAAAGACUAAUUCAUUUUUUUUAUUUCUCUUCUAUUUCUUUCCAUACUCAAGAUCUUACGAUUGGUUUGUAAUUGGAUGUUCGACAUGUUACUCUUUCGUACUUGUAUUUAUCUAUUUCGUCAACAUAAUUAACUCCCUGAGAAUCAGCGAUAUAUUUAUAUUGGAAGACAGGAAGAAGAUCUCAAACUAUUAUGAUGACGAGGAAAAUGUUGAAGAGGUUAUCAUGGUUAUCUGCUUAUUGGCUCUUUUAUAUUCAAUAUCAAUGAAUUCAGACUGAUUUCCAUGUAAAUGAAAUGCUGAUUAAAUCAGUAUUACUAUUACAUUCUGGUUCAAUCAUAUUUGUUAGAUUAUCGUAGAUUUAUUUAUUUACAAUGGUUAAUAGCAUUUUAUUUAAAUUAAUCAACUUUUGUUGACUUACUAACCUGACAAAUGGAUCGGAACAAUUUACUGAUCCUUUUACCCUUGAAGGUAAAUUUUUGAUUUUAAGUAGAUUGAUGGGAAAUCAUCAUCUUCACCGUCUGGAUCAACUCCACCGAUACGAUAAAGCUCAGGAUUUAGUCCACCUAAUAAAGAGGAUCUUGACCUUUCCAGCUGAUUGUCACCAGCAAAUUUAC